rnacentral:rRNA from 1 species
UACGAAGGGUGCAACCGUUGCUCGGAAUCAUUGGGCGUAAAGCGCACGUAGGCGGCCUCAUAAGUCGGAUGUGAAAUCCCUCGGCUCAACCGAGGACGUGCAUACGAAACUGCGAGGCUCGAGUAUGGAAGAGGGUCGCGGAAUUCCCGGUGUAGAGGUGAAAUUCGUAGAUAUCGGGAGGAACACCAGUGGCGAAGGCGGCGACCUGGGCCAAUACUGACGCUGAGGUGCGAAAGCGUGGGGAGCAAACAGG